rnacentral:rRNA from 1 species
UACGUAGGUUGCAAGCGUUGUCCGGAUUUAUUGGGCUUAAAGGGUGCGUAGGCGGUCCUAUAAGUCAGUGCUGAAAUAUCCCGGCUUAACCGGGAGGGUGGCAUUGAUACUGCAGGACUUGAGUAGAGUUGAGGUUGGCGGAAUUGACGGUGUAGCGGUGAAAUGCUUAGAUAUCGUCAAGAACACCGAUAGUGUAGACAGCUAACUAAGCUCAAACUGACGCUGAGGCACGAAAGUGUGGGGAUCAAACAGG